AAGGCAUGAAUGACAGACUGAGAUGUUCUCUAUACAGCAGGGGCUUAAUCCUAGCCAAGUGUCUCAGAUGAAAGAAAAUUGGAAUGUACAACCAUAAUAAUUUGUGCCUCAAAUGUCAGUGCCAAGUAGAUUUUUACACAAAGAUUGGUUACUGAGAAACAUUUCAAAAGUCCGUAAACUGGUUUCUACUGCAGAUCUGGAAAAAAUCAUCCAUGCCUUUGUGUCAUCACGCUUAGACGACUGUAACGCUCUUUUUACUGGUCUCAGCAAAACCUCCCUCUCACGCCUUCAAGCCAUCCAAAAUGCAGCAGCCAGACUCCUAACCAAAUCCAGCAGACGAGCUCACAUCACUCCAGUUUUACAGUCCCUCCACUGGCUCCCGGUAGAAUUUAGAAUACAGUUUAAAGUUUUAGUGCUGACCUAUAGAGCUCUUAAAGAGCAAGUAACGUCUAAAUUAACUUUUUUUUGCUGAUGAACUGUAUAAAUGAGUGUCUAAUAGUGUUUUAAAUGUGUGCAUUCUUUAUUUUAGCAUUUUGGUGCAUUUUCUUUAAAAAUUAAAAAUUCUGUCUAAAAACCACAGUAAUGCGCCACCUUCAGCUGAAAACAUAGAAUUUGAGUCAUUUUGAAUAAAUUUUAGCCAAUGGCUAAAGAGUAAAGUACUACGUAAACCAGUAGAGUACUACGUAGCAGCUCCGUGCCAAAGUUAUAAAAGCAACGAGCGUCUCGGCCACGCCCUGUGGCGAGUGGGAGUUGGAUUUGCAAGUGAGUGUAGGAGGUCAGCGGUAGUUCAGCAUUAGCAUAUAGCAUUAGCAUAUCCUAGUCUUGGCAUAUCUUUUAGUGUUAUAAAUACUUAUUUAGUGUUAGAUUUGGCUGUUUGAUAUUGUAGUUUAGUUAGUGUUUGGCUGUUAGUGUAAUUGGGAAAGUAUUUCGGGUUUAGUGCUCCAUAUCGUCUUAGUAUUGGUGAGUAGGUGUAGUGUAGUAUGCUUGCGGUGACCGUGGGCAUUUUACCCGCGAUUCUGCACGUCUCCGUUUGAAGAGGGAGGCUGCCCACCGUGGCUCUUCCGCGAUUUAGAUGCAGCCCACCGACUCUGCUCCCCCACCACGGUGGGCUCCAGUCUGAGGUGAGUAAGCUAAAUAAACAUUUUAACAUCUUCUAAAGACAAUUCCCUACCUAAAUGCAAAGUCUGAGAGACGUGGUUCACUUCCUUUAGCUAGUCAGUCGGCAAUUCUGCAACAGUGGCUCUAACUGACGCAGCACUUGACAGACAGCAUUACAGAGUGAAAUCCAGCUUGUGAACAGGUUCUGUGAGGAAUUCUGUUCAGGAGGUCGCAUUUCAGGCUUUCCACAUCAUGUGUGACUGACUUUUACGUUAUAAUAAUCACACACUAGGAAUGUUAUAAAGCGCCUAUAUGGGACAGUUUCUUUUGUAUAUUAUCUGACUUUAUAAACUCCCAACAACAAUGUGCUUAUAUAUUUUUUUCAGGCUAAAUCUACCCAAGACACUGGCUGUCAGACUGAUUUAGCUGCAAGAAUGCACUUGUCCAGGCUGACGUGAAACCUUACCUGUAGCAAAGGUGAAUUAUUUUUAAUAAUCUUCUAUGUAAACAUUUUAUUAUUACCUUCUAGUUUUAAUUUAUUUUACAGAUUAUUGUUACACGUGAUUUUAUGCUCUUUUAAACAUUUAUAAAUGUGCUGCUUCUUUGUUUUUACAUAGCCAGCCAGAAUGGAGUUCACAGCCGCAGUGUGUCUGGUGACCCAUGGGGACCAUGAUGAAAAUUCAUCUUCCAGAAGGUCCCAGAGCAGCGUCCACACCCCUGAAAAGACCAAGGUGUGAGGUGUCUGCUGUUGAUUCCAGCUUCCACCUCAGUGACAGUGCAAGCUCAGUGAACUGUUCAAGGUAAAAAAAAAUUAAAACAUUUCAGAAUUUUUAAGAUAUUAACAAUUAAAUAAGUAUGUGAUUACAUCAUGACGGAGGCUACUGAUUCUGCCCCCGUGACACUUGGUGGUGACGUGUGAGCUGAUUCACCUGGAAAACAACUUUUACAUUAAAUAUUUUGUUUUUGCUAUCAAAAGUAAAUUAACUAAUAACCUGCAUUAUUGCAGGACACUCAGCAAAAUAUGGACUCUACACCAUGAGGCAGGCACACGUUAAUAACUCUAUAAGAGCACAUAAGCAUGAGGAUGUCCUCACACACCUGUAACCUAUCAGCUCAUCUGGCAGAAUAGAGAGAGAAGAGACAACACCACAUCUCCUGUUCCUGGAAAGCCUUCAGCCAUCCUUCGAUGACUGAGAACCUCCAUCAGCUCUGUCUCCUGUCUGCCUACAAUUAUUAUAAUAAAUAUUGUGUUUGACAAGUU